UGGCGGACGGGUGAGAAAUACAUCGGAAUCUACUCUGUCGUGGGGGAUAACGUAGGGAAACUUACGCUAAUACCGCAUACGACCUACGGGUGAAAGCAGGGGACCUUCGGACCUUGCGCGAUUGAAUGAGCCGAUGUCGGAUUAGCUAGUUGGCGGGGUAAAGGCCCACCAAGGCGACGAUCCGUAGCUGGUCUGAGAGGAUGAUCAGCCACACUGGAACUGAGACACGGUCCAGACUCCUACGGGAGGCAGCAGUGGAGAAUCUUGCACAAUGGGGGAAACCCUGAUGGAGCGAUGCCGCGUGCAGGAAGACGCUUUUCGGAGUGUAAACUGCUUUUAAUAGGGAAGAUUAUGACGGUACCUAUAGAAUAAGCACCGGCAAACUCUGUGCCAGCAGCCGCGGUAAUA
rnacentral:rRNA from 1 species